AGAGUUUGAUCUGGCUCAGAUUGAACGCUGGCGGCAGGCCUAACACAUGCAAGUCGAGCGGCAGCGGGAAAGUAGCUUGCUACUUUUGCCGGCGAGCGGCGGACGGGUGAGUAAUGCCUGGGGAUCUGCCCAGUCGAGGGGGAUAACAGUUGGAAACGACUGCUAAUACCGCAUACGCCCUACGGGGGAAAGGAGGGGACCUUCGGGCCUUUCGCGAUUGGAUGAACCCAGGUGGGAUUAGCUAGUUGGUGGGGUAAUGGCUCACCAAGGCGACGAUCCCUAGCUGGUCUGAGAGGAUGAUCAGCCACACUGGAACUGAGACACGGUCCAGACUCCUACGGGAGGCAGCAGUGGGGAAUAUUGCACAAUGGGGGAAACCCUGAUGCAGCCAUGCCGCGUGUGUGAAGAAGGCCUUCGGGUUGUAAAGCACUUUCAGCGAGGAGGAAAGGUUGGCGCCUAAUACGUGUCAACUGUGACGUUACUCGCAGAAGAAGCACCGGCUAACUCCGUGCCAGCAGCCGCGGUAA
rnacentral:rRNA from 1 species